rnacentral:snRNA from 1 species
AGCUUUGCGCAGUGGCAGUAUCGUAGCCAAUGAGGUUUAUCCGAGGCGCGAUUAUUGCUAAUUGAAAUUAUAUAAAAAUAAAUA